rnacentral:rRNA from 1 species
UAAAAAGCUCGUAGUUGGAUCUGUGUAUCGGACGGUCGGUUCGCCGCUCGCGGCGUUUAACUGACCGGUCCGGACGUCCUGCCGGUGGGCGGCUCGGCCCUUCGCGGGGCCGGUCGCCCGUUAACCUUCCCUCCGGGCUGCUCUUAACCGAGUGGCGCGGUGGGCCGGCACGUUUACUUUGAACAAAUUUGAGUGCUCAAAGCAGGCCUCGAGUCGCCUGAAAACUGUGUGCAUGGAAUAAUGGAAUAGGGCCUCUUCUCUAUUUUGUUGGCUUUUCUGAGAUAGAGGUAAUGAUUAAUAGGGACAGACGGGGGCAUUCGUAUUGCGACGUUAGAGGUGAAAUUCUUGGAUCGUCGCAAGACGGACGGAUGCGAAAGCGUUUGCCAAGAAUGUUUUCGCUAAUCAAGAACGAAAGUUAGAGGUUCGAAGGCGAUCAGAUACCGCCCUAGUUCUAACCAUAAACGAUGCCAGCCAGCGAUGCGCCGACGUUCCUCCGAUGACUCGGCGCGCAGCUUCCGGGAAACCAAAGCUUUUGGGUUCCGGGG